UGGGGAAUAUUGCACAAUGGGCGGAAGCCUGAUGCAGCGACGCCGCGUGGGGGAUGAAGGCCUUCGGGUUGUAAACUCCUUUCGACAGGGACGAAGCUUUUGUGACGGUACCUGUAUAAGAAGCACCGGCUAACUACGUGCCAGCAGCCGCGGUAAUACGUAGGGUGCGAGCGUUUUCCGGAAUUACUGGGCGUAAAGAGCUCGUAGGUGGUUUGUCGCGUCGUCUGUGAAAUUCCGGGGCUUAACUCCGGGCGUGCAGGCGAUACGGGCUGACUUGAGUGCUGUAGGGGAGACUGGAAUGCCUGGUGUAGCGGUGAAAUGCGCAGAUAUCAGGAGGAACACCGAUGGCGAAGGCAGGUCUCUGGGCAGUAACUGACGCUGAGGAGCGAAAGCAUGGGUAGCGAACAGG
rnacentral:rRNA from 1 species